GACGAACGCUGGCGGCGUGCUUAACACAUGCAAGUCGAACGAUGAAGCCGGAGCUUGCUCUGGUGAAUUAGUGGCGAACGGGUGAGUAACACGUGAGUAACCUGCCCUUUACUCUGGGAUAACUGCUAGAAAUGGUAGCUAAUACCGGAUACGACCCUCGGAGGCAUCUCCAGGGGGUGGAAAGAAUUUCGGUCAAGGAUGGACUUGCGGCCUAUCAGCUAGUUGGUGAGGUAACGGCUCACCAAGGCGACGACGGGUAGCCGGCCUGAGAGGGUGACCGGCCACACUGGGACUGAGACACGGCCCAGACUCCUACGGGAGGCAGCAGUGGGGAAUAUUGCACAAUGGGCGCAAGCCUGAUGCAGCAACGCCGCGUGAGGGAUGACGGCCUUCGGGUCGUAAACCUCUUUUAGUAGGGAAGAAGCGAAAGUGACGGUACCUGCAGAAAAAGCACCGGCUAACUACGUGCCAGCCGCCGCGGUAA
rnacentral:rRNA from 1 species